GACGAACGCUGGCGGCGUGCCUAAUACAUGCAAGUAGAACGCUGAAGAGAGGAGCUUGCUCUUCUUGGAUGAGUUGCGAACGGGUGAGUAACGCGUAGGUAACCUGCCUUGUAGCGGGGGAUAACUAUUGGAAACGAUAGCUAAUACCGCAUAACAAUGGAUGACACAUGUCAUUUAUUUGAAAGGGGCAAUUGCUCCACUACAAGAUGGACCUGCGUUGUAUUAGCUAGUAGGUGAGGUAAUGGCUCACCUAGGCGACGAUACAUAGCCGACCUGAGAGGGUGAUCGGCCACCCUGGGACUGGGACACGGCCCAGACUCCUACGGGAGGCAGCAGUAGGGAAACUUCGGCAAUGGGGGCAACCCUGACCGAGCAACGCCGCGUGAGUGGAGAAGGUUUUCGGAUCGUAAAGCUCUGUUGUAAGUCAAGAACGGGUGUGAGAGUGGAAAGUUCACACUGUGACGGUAGCUUACCAGAAAGGGACGGCUAACUACGUG
rnacentral:rRNA from 1 species